AAAAGUCACACCUACACGUGAAACACAAACCAAAGACAAUAAAAGAAAACAAUUAAAGUUGCCAAGAGUUGGAAAGAGCACUAAGAACUCUUCCAAUCUACUUGGACUUUAUAAGAGACCUUUUACAAAACAGAAACUAAAACUACGUGACAGUGGGCUGACACAAGCCCAUCAAAUACAAAAAAAUAAAAAAAAAACAAAUGAAUUUAAUCCUAUGCUACGACCCAACACUGCUACAACCCAACUUUUGCACUAAGUUGCCACGGUCUUGAUUCAUCCUACACGAAAUCUUCAAAUUUCCAAAUAUUCCUUGCAGCACUCGGUCUUGAAUGAAGUUGAACUUUGAAAUGGGGUCUUUUAGGUGAGUGUUUUCGGUGUGAGGAAGAAGAAAGAGC
rnacentral:lncRNA from 1 species